rnacentral:rRNA from 1 species
GACGAACGCUGGCGGCGUGCCUAAUACAUGCAAGUCGAGCGGACUUACAAUGCUUGCUUUUUAAGCUAGCGGGGGGCGGGUGUGUAACACAUGUGCAUCCCCUCCGUAUGACUGUGGUAACUUUUGGAAACCGUAGCUCAAAUCGCGUAAUGCUUUUCUACUUACGUAGAAAGGCUGGAAGACGGUUUACGCUGUCACUUACAGAUGGGCCUGCGGCGCAUUAGCUAGUUGGUGAGGUAACGGCUCACCAAGGCGACGAUGCGUAGACGACCUGAGAGGGGGAUCGGCUACACUGGGACUGAGACACGGCCCAGACUCCUACGGGAGGCAGCAGUAGGGAAUCUUCCGCAAUGGACGAAAGUCUGACGGAGCAACGCCGCGUGAGUGAUGAAGGUUUUCGGAUCGUAAAACUCUGUUGUUAGGGAAGAACAAGUACGAGAGUAACUGCUCGUACCUUGACGGUACCUAACCAGAAAGCCACGGCUAACUACGUG